rnacentral:rRNA from 1 species
UACAGAGGUGGCAAGCGUUGUUCGGAAUUACUGGGCGUAAAGGGCGCGUAGGCGGUCCGAUAAGUCCUGUGUGAAAUCCCUCGGCUCAACUGAGGAACUGCACGGGAGACUGCCGGGCUUGAGUUCGGGAGAGGGAAGCGGAAUUCCGGGUGUAGCGGUGAAAUGCGUAGAUAUCCGGAGGAACACCGGUGGCGAAGGCGGCUUCCUGGGCCAGCACUGACGCUCAUGCACGAAAGCGUGGGGAGCAAACAGG